AUUGAACGCUGGCGGCAUGCCUUACACAUGCAAGUCGAACGGCAGCAUGAUCUAGCUUGCUAGAUUGAUGGCGAGUGGCGAACGGGUGAGUAAUACAUCGGAACGUGCCCUGUAGUGGGGGAUAACUAGUCGAAAGAUUAGCUAAUACCGCAUACGACCUGAGGGUGAAAGUGGGGGACCGCAAGGCCUCAUGCUAUAGGAGCGGCCGAUGUCUGAUUAGCUAGUUGGUGAGGUAAAGGCUCACCAAGGCGACGAUCAGUAGCUGGUCUGAGAGGACGAUCAGCCACACUGGGACUGAGACACGGCCCAGACUCCUACGGGAGGCAGCAGUGGGGAAUUUUGGACAAUGGGCGAUAGCCUGAUCCAGCAAUGCCGCGUGUGUGAAGAAGGCCUUCGGGUUGUAAAGCACUUUUGUCCGGAAAGAAAUGGCUCUGGUUAAUACCUGGGGUCGAUGACGGUACCGGAAGAAUAAGGACCGGCUAACUACGUG
rnacentral:rRNA from 1 species